UUUUGUGUUUUUACAAAGUGACCCCAAAAGUUUUGCAAUAUAGCCCAAAAGUUGAGGUUAAUUGCUUUAUAGCCCAAAAGGUUAUGGUUAUUGCAUGAUGGCCCAAAUUAGGUUGAGAACAAAAUUGUUUUGUCUCUUUAAAUGAGAAUUGGAUUUUCAUUUCAUUAGCUCCAUUUAAAUCAAUUUUAUGGAUACAAAAACCAAAUGAAAAUGUUGCAUUCAAUUUAAUUAGUUAAAGCGUUAAUUAAUUAAAGGAUGAUUAUGAACCUAAGCCUAAUAUAAUUGAGCUAUGUGAAAGGCCGUUUCAAAUUUGUUUGAACCUUGGGAAUGUGUAGAUUAGAUUUUGGUUGUAAUUUGAUUUGAUCAAAUGUUGUAAAAGGGCAUAAGGCCUUCUUUACUUUAAGGUAAUUUGUUUUAUG
rnacentral:lncRNA from 1 species